GCCAGGAUGAAGUCAUAGAUCAGGGCAGCACUUGCACCUCCCAGCAUUGGGCCCACCCAGAAGAUCUGAAAUACAACAUCAAACUCAGGAACAUGGGGUUCUGAUGGUAAAUUAUUCCACUGGUCCCACAUAUCUGCUAUCCCAAAUCUAGCACCAUCUACCACACACCUGACCAAGGUGCUUGUCAUGCAAUUGGACCUGCAUGGGAUUUCUACAGGAUCGGAGCCCAGGUGCUGUAUAAGAACAAAGAACGACCACUCAAAAUACAAGUUUGAAGAAUACCAGCUCUAAGAAGAGAGAGGAAAUGUUUUGUGUUGGAAAUGGAGUAUCAUUGCUUGUAGAGAACCUAGCACAACAGGGUUCUGCUCCUUGACUCAGGCUCCUAGGGUAUGUCUACACUGCCCACUAAGCCUGGGCUCUGACUCCGGUUUAAGCCCAAGCCCGUCUUCUGUCCAGAAACUGAGUAGGUUCAGCAAAUAUUCAGGAAGGUCCUCUUGAUUUUGUUAUAGAGUGAUAUCCAGGGGAAAGGACAGUAUCACUCAGACACAGCACAUCUACUUCUUCCAAAGAUAAUCUUCAUCUGUAAGGAGCUUCGCAAUUGCCCAUUUACCCAAUGGCAUGGUAAAAAACCCUGAGCUUCGUUACUUGAGCAUUGAUUAUUAAGCGUUGCUCAGGGACAGCACACUGCUCCCUUUCUGGAAUGAUUUUUGUCUAUAUAACCCUGGCAACCAUUCAUUGACUCCAUGGCCGUGUAGAAGAGUGUGGUCUAUAAGUAAAUCCGUCUUGGCGUUUGCAUGCAGAACUGCAGGUAGUUCUGCCACAGCGCACUUCUGACUUAACGUAGAUAAUGUCCAGAAACAGCUUUUAUUUUUGCCGGUCUCUUUUAAUGCACACUUGGAAUUACAUCACCCACUGUUCAGUUCACAAGACCCAUCUCAAGCCUUGGUAAAGGCAAGCAGGUGAUGUAAUCUGAUGGGAUGGUUCAACAGCUGCAAG